CAACCUCAACUCAUAUGGGACUACCCCCUGAAUUUAAGCAUAUUAAUUAGGGGAGGAAAAGAAACUAACAAGGAUUUUCUUAGUAGCGGCGAGCGAAAAGAAAUCAGUUCAGCACUAAGUCACUUUGUCUAUAUGGCAAAUGUGAGAUGCAGUGUACGGAACAUCAACAUUCUAGUAUGAGAAGUUAACGAUUUAAGUCCUUCUUAAAUGAGGCCAUUUACCCAUAGAGGGUGCCAGGCCCGUAUAACGUUAAUGAUUACUAGAUGGUGUUUCCAAAGAGUCGUGUUGCUUGAUAGUGCAGCACUAAGUGGGUGGUAAACUCCAUCUAAAACUAAAUAUAACCAUGAGACCGAUAGUAAACAAGUACCGUGAGGGAAAGUUGAAAAGAACUCUGAAUAGAGAGUUAAAUAGUACGUGAAACUGCUUAGAGGUUAAGCCCGAUGAACCUGAAUAUCCGUUAUGGAAAAUUCAUCAUUAGAAUUGUAAUAUUUUAAACAAUAUUAUAAUAAUAGUGUGCAUUUUUUCCAUAUAAGGACAUUGUAAUCUAUUAGCAUAAAUAUUUAUCAUAAAAUUAUGUCUGAUUGCUUAUUUGAAUUAUAUGC
rnacentral:ncRNA from 1 species